CAGCGCCGCGGGAAUACGUAGGUGGCAAACGUUAUCCGGAAUUAUUGGGCGUAAAGCGCGCGUAGGCGGUUUUUUAAGUCUGAUGUGAAAGCCCACGGCUCAACCGUGGAGGGUCAUUGGAAACUGGAAAACUUGAGUGCAGAAGAGGAGAGUGGAAUUCCACGUGUAGCGGUGAAAUGCGUGGAGAUGUGGGGGAACACCUGUGGCGAAGGCGACUCUCUGGUCUGUAACUGACGCUGAGGAGCGAAAGCGUGGGGGGCGAACAGGAUUAGAUACCCGUGUAGUCCCUGUCUCUUAUACA
rnacentral:rRNA from 1 species